UGAGAGUGACUUUUUAAGAAUUUCUUUUU
rnacentral:piRNA from 1 species